ACGCUCGACACCUACGGGAGCAGCAGUGAGGAAUAUUGGUCAAUGGGCGCUAGCCUGAACCAGCCAAGUAGCGUGAAGGAUGAAGGCUCUAUGGGUCGUAAACUUCUUUUAUAUAAGAAUAAAGUGCAGUAUGUAUACUGUUUUGUAUGUAUUAUAUGAAUAAGGAUCGGCUAACUCCGUGCGAGCAGCCGCGGUAAUCUGAGCGGGCUGGCAAGGC
rnacentral:rRNA from 1 species